GAUGAAGAACGCAGCGAAAUGCGAUACGUAAUGUGAAUUGCAGAUUUCAGUGAAUCAUCGAAUCUUUGAACGCACAUUGCGCCCGCUAGUAUUCUGGCGGGCAUGCCUGUUCGAGCGUCAUUUCAACCAUCAAGCCCUAGGCUUGCGUUGGAGCCCUGCGGCUGCCGCAGGCUCCCAAAUCCAGUGGCGGGCUCGUCGUCGUACCGAGUGCAGUAAACAUCCUCGCUCAGGGAACGUGACGGGUUCUUGCCGUGAAACCCCCCACAUAUCAAGGUUGACCUCGGAUCAGGUAGUAAUACCCGCUGAACUUAAGCAUAUCAAUAAGCGGAGGA
rnacentral:misc_RNA from 1 species